GAUAAUUAAAUGUGAGAAUACACAUUUCAUUCUGUACACCUAUUCCAUCAACUCUCUGCCAAGAAGUGGAAGCUACUUCCCUCCAAUUCACAGUGGAAACCCUCUCUUUUAAGAGAUAUGCAUAGUCCAGUAACUCAAAUCAACAGAUAAUUAAAUGUGAGAAUACACAUUUCAUUCUGUACACCUAUUCCAUCAACUCUCUGCCAAGAAGUGGAAGGUAAUAUUUCCUUAUCAAUAUUUUAAAGACACAAUUUGUCAAAAGUUUAGACUGCAUUGAGGUCAUUCAAAUUUGUUACCCCUUUCAGAAUUAUCGUGUUUGUCACAAAAAUUGUUCUUAAAGUCCUACUGAAGUCACUCUGUAUAUGUCAAUAAAAGUAUUUCCAUAUUACA
rnacentral:lncRNA from 1 species